AGCGAACGCUGGCGGCAGGCUUAACACAUGCAAGUCGAACGGGUGUAGCAAUACAUCAGUGGCAGACGGGUGAGUAACACGUGGGAACCUUCCUAGGGGUACGGAACAACUCAGGGAAACUUGAGCUAAUACCGUAUACGUCCGUGAGGAGAAAGAUUUAUCGCCCUUAGACGGGCCCGCGUCGGAUUAGCUAGUUGGUGGGGUAACGGCCUACCAAGGCGACGAUCCGUAGCUGAUCUUAGAGGAUGAUCAGCCACACUGGGACUGAGACACGGCCCAGACUCCGACGGGAGGGAGCAGUGGGGAAUCUUGGACAAUGGGCGCAAGCCUGAUCCAGCCAUGCCGCGUGAGUGAAGAAGGUCUUCGGAUUGUAAAGCUCUUUUGCCAGGGACGAUAAUGACGGUACCUGGAGAAUAAGCCCCGGCAAACUUCGUGCCAGCCGCCGCAGUAAGAC
rnacentral:rRNA from 1 species